rnacentral:rRNA from 1 species
GAUGAACGCUAGCGGAAGGCAUAAUACAUGCAAGUCGAACGGAUGUAGCAAUACAUUAGUGGCGCACGGGUGCGUAACGCGUAUGCAACCUACCUUCAUCAGGGGGAUAACUACUCGAAAGGGUGGCUAACACCGCAUAAUACUACUGAAUGGCAUCAUUUGGUAUUUAAAUCUGAGGAGGAUGAAGAUGGGCAUGCGUCUGAUUAGCUAGUUGGUGUGGUAACGGCGCACCAAGGCGACGAUCAGUAGGGGAACUGAGAGGUUGGUCCCCCACACUGGCACUGAGAUACGGGCCAGACUCCUACGGGAGGCAGCAGUAGGGAAUAUUGGUCAAUGGUGGGAACACUGAACCAGCCAUUCCGCGUGCAGGAAGAAGGGUCUCUGACUUGUAAACUGCUUUAGCAAGGGAAGAAAAAGCUCAUGCGUGAGAAAUUGACGGUACCUUGAGAAUAAGCACCGGCUAACUACGUGCCAGCCGCCGCGGUAA